ensembl:lncRNA
GAGCACUGGGGCAGAACGGCAGGUCUGUGAGGACGCCGUGGAGUCUUGAGAUGAGCUGUCGGAGGGUUUCCGGUAGAGGAGUGGCGUGAUCGGUUUUGUAUUUUCACAGAAGCCUCUGGCUGCUGGAUGGAGAACACACUGCAGGCAGCAGGGGCAGAAUCAAGGGGACCAGUUAGGACCCUGUGGCAGGUGCCUAGCCGAGAGACAAUGUUGGUUCGUCUCAAGUUUUCUCAACCUUGACACUAUGGACAUUCGGGGCUGGGUCAUUCUCCAUGCUGGGGCCGUCCCGUGCAUCGUGGAAUGUUUAGCCCUCUAGAUGCCAGAAGCUCUUCCAGCCUGGUUGUAACAAUCAAAAUUUUGUUGAGACACUGCCAAAUGUCCCCCGGGGAGAAGAUGGCCCCACCUGAGAACCACCGCCCUGACUGAACUCUUCGCGCCGGUCCAGCUGCACCUCGCCCAGGGUUGGGAGCUGUGCUCCCUCCAGCUUGCUGUGGCCCUGAGCAGGAACUAGAAGGGCAUCUUCUCAUUUUAACAGGGAGGAAAGUAUUUCCCAGAAGCCCCCAGCUGACUGGACCUUACAGCUCCCUGGCCAGAAGUGGCCGAAUGCCCCCCCCGCUCGGGACUGUCAUGAUUGGCAGGGUUGAUGUGGCCCCAUGCGAUGGGCACAUUACUGCCCAAACAGAUCCAAUUUCUACCAGCAGAGAAGAGGUGAGCCACCAGGAGUCUCUGCCACAAACUCACUUGUUACAUCUGUUCCACCUGCUAGACUCGCAGUCCCCCCGAACGGCGUCAUAUCCUAUUUACAAGCCCCGGGUAUGCGGUGACCCGGUGCUUAACUUAACGGUAUUCUGUCAAAUGAACGAAUGCAGGAGCGGGAGUCUCGUCAGGGACAGCCAUGGCUGCUUUGCGUUCCGAGAACCUAAAUCAAAGCAUCCUUUGCAAGAUCUCGCAGGUGGCUUCCCUCUCGGCACGUCCUGUUCACGGGGAAGGCCUGUCUUCCUGCUCAGAAAGGACGUUGGAAGAUCUGAGCUGGCCCUUGCUGUGCAUUUGUACCCGCAUUAACCUCACUUAGUCCACAGGACAGCCCUGCCGUGUCACUGACAUUCAUAGGUGAAGUUUCUGGAAGGUGAUUAUGAAACAAGAGUUGCUGUUACAGAGAGAGGCCUAACCUGAGUUGCACUAAUUGUCAGGUAGGCGCUGCUUUUCCCCUUUAGAAAGCCAGUAGCUGCCAGAGAACCACGAGCUGUGCCCUGCCCACAGAGACUGGCGGCUGUGCUGCCCCGGGGCAGCAUUACUCACUUUAAUCCUCAAUUACAUGUGCACUGUUGUGUGCUGCUGACAGCUGUGCCACUCGUAUUUCAAACCCCUGCAGGGCCCCCCAUGGUGGACAGGUUCCGGCAGAGCUUCCAGACCAAGACAGACAGGGAAGAAGGAGCUGGUCACCCACUUCCUCAAAAAUUAGUCAAGAAAACCCCAUGAAUAGCAGUGAGCAUUAUCUGAUACAGCGCAGGAAGACGAGAGGAUGACGCGAACAGACGGGGCAGGGUCUGCUCUGCAGGGCACAGGUCGCCAGGGGUGGGAAUCAACUCGACGGCACUAACUGCAACAACACGGGCACUGGUGCGGCUUGCGUGUCUCUGUUUCAUCACAAGGUGAAAUCCACGGGUUUAAUCUUCCUUAUCUGUUUAUCCAGAAGAGAGCUCUUGGUGGGAUAAUAACGCAGACAGACACAUCGCCACCUUCAUCGCUGUGCUCAGAGCAGCGUCUUAACUGGUCACGGCCUUGUUGCCUUUCUCUAGUGAGAACUGAGGGUAACCAUCGCUGUUGUCAGAGGCCCCACAUGAAACAGCUCACGGGUGACUAUAAUUAAACCCGUUUAUAAUUCUCCCGCCUCCCAAACUUACCCUCCCUCAUGAAGAUGCUCUGUUAGGCACUGGGCGUCAGUAUAAAUUAGACUAUACAGUUAUGUGUAAUUACAGGGAAAAAUGGGUACCGCGCUGCAAAGAUGAGCCCUAUUUUGCCGAAGUAAAUCCAUCUCCAUGUCAGGAUCCCCGCCCAGGGAGGCAGCAUGAAAUACAAUUAUCUUUCUUCUGACUUAAUGGGGGCUUAUGCUGCUAUUUUUCAUUACCAUAAUUUCUCAAGACAUAUAAACAGAUUUUUUUUCCUAAUGCAAUUACAGUUCUACAUACAAGACAGCUUAUGUCUAAAUGAAUACUCAGGCAGAAUUAACCGCAAGAGUGCAUCAUUAUAGAUGUGGCUGGAAGGUCUGUCUGAAAACAUGUGCUCGACUGUCGCCACCCAGGAGCUGAGGAUUUUGGCCCCAACCCCCCGAGGGCGGUUCUGCAGCAUCUUUUGCUCUUGAAAAGCAAGUUUUGGAUAAACUUUGUGACCAUUAUAGUCGCCUGGUUCCAACUCUGUGCCCUUCUUUUCUGGAACCUUCCAAACGCAUCCAGGCCACAGCCAUUUAUCCUACUUUUAACAUUUCUCCUUCACAUGCUGAUUCGUUUACUCACUGAAAGCUUGACUUUUACAACCUCCUAAAUUGCCUCAACUCCAACCCAAACUUGGCCGGAAAAUACUUGGACAAAAAUGGUUCGGGUGGUAUUUCAGCUCUUGAAGGAGAAAAAGCAAAACACAGGAGGAAUGAUUGUUUUUACUUGUUGCACGGGAGUGCAGGAAACAGAGCAGCAUUCCGGCUGUGCCAGGUGGAUAGAACCAGAUGAGCAACCCGCACAGGCGGCCGCCAAGGAAGUCACGGGAGGAGGAAUCGAGGCGCGCAGACCCACCCUGGCUGCAGCUGGAAAGGAGGUGGCCCAGGGACAGGAGCAGACCAGCCAUCCAGCGGAGACGGCGGUGGCGCGGAGCAGGUUGGGGGAGUGCAGGCAGAGAGGGUGGCUGCGGCAGGUCAUGUUUUGAAGGUCGGCCCGGGAGGACUCGCUGAUGGAUGGCAGGAAUCCUGCGGCUGAGGACAGGGCGUUAUUGAAUGACAGGGGAAAUAGUCAGGAGAGGACAACUUCAGGAGGAGCUUCUCAGAGAGGAAAUGGAAGCGACCAGUGCUUGCUGAGUGCCAGCGGUCAUACCCAGGACCCACCCACCCUUUCCUUCGGGUACCUCCCUCCACCCAAGAUGACCAUAUCAGCAUUUUCUCCCAGAAGCUUCUGCAACCAGAGCCAGCGGAAGGCAGAGGGAAGAAAAGUACUGAAUGACUUUGCAGAUUUUUCCGUCCAGUGCGAUUCCAUUAAUGCCAUUCCAGGCCUGCCUCCUGGAUGCCUGCCUGAUUGAUUCGGGGUCUAGGAACCAAUUUCGAAAUUUGGCUUUUCACAGCUAAAACCGGCAAUAACAUUUUACCCUGUUUGUAACGAGCAAGAGCCAGGAAUGGUCCCCCUUUGCCGCGAUGGUGAGGAAAUCUCAUCUGAGAAGCAGGUCCCGGCCCCCGGGGAGAUUAUUCUGGAUCGAGUGACAGGCCCGGCAGUAGCCGCCAGCUGCCAACAGCGAGCUCCUUCCAGCACAAGGAGGGGAAUCAAAGGCAAUCGCUCGGGAAACGACCAAGUCCCUCUGCCCAGACGUGGCCUCCGAUGGCUGCUGUUUGUCCCCCAGGCCUUUCUUCCACCCCCCUUUGGGGGACAGAGUUGUUCUGGGACCGUUGAUCUGAUGGGCAAGCCUCCUGUGGCCGUUAACAGGUGUUGCCGGGGGCGAGCAGCUCACAUUCUGAUCCAGUGACAUUGCAGGUAUUCCAGGGACACUCAGGGCCAGACCAGGGCUGCCACGUGAAUUCCAGCCUGGGACGGGGACACCAAUGGCUGGAGGACCGUGCUGGACACAGGUGCGGGACAUCUGCUCCCUGCCGCCGGUCUGGGUCAAGGCCCAGACUGCAGCCUUGCCUCCUCCGGUGGACACCCGUGGGUCUCCUUGGGAACCGUCUCCAGGCCGCACAAGAGUGUUACAUCUGCAGGAUGGUUCAUCGGGUCCCUUCAGCGGGAGCCUGAGGUUGCACCCUCAGCGUCUUCAGGAGACUGGGGGUAACGUGAAUCAGAGAGGUGGGCAGUGGGGCCUGUGACGGACUGACAAGGAUGUGCCCAGUCCAAAGUGGCCCUUGCCACACACCUCCCCCCACUGUCCGCACGUGGAAAGAGGGACAAAGAGACGAGUCUUCUGACUUUUCCAGCAGAACCAGAAGUUUGCUUUCAUGCAAAAUCUCUCAAUUAAAAAACAGGACAGC